rnacentral:rRNA from 1 species
CCCUUAGAUGUUCUGGGCCGCACGCGCGCUACACUGAUGCAUUCAACGAGCCUAUCCUUGACCGACAGGUCCGGGUAAUCUUUGAAUCUGCAUCGUGACGGGGAUAGAUUAUUGCAAUUAUUAAUCUUCAACGAGGAAUGCCUAGUAGGCGCAAGUCAUCAGCUUGCGUCGAUUACGUCCCUGCCCUUUGUACACACCGCCCGUCGCUCCUACCGAUUGGGUGUGCUGGUGAAAUGUUCGGAUCGGCCGAUUGUCGCGGUUUCCGCGGCUCGUGGCUGAGAAGUUCAUUAAACCCUCCCACCUAGAGGAAGGAGAAGUCGUAACA